AUGACUGACCCUCCCCUCCCAAUUUCCUGGAAAACUGCUCUACCUGGCUUUAGGGCCAUCUGUAACUUGGUUCCAUCCUGUGUGGUCACUCAUUUCUCACCCCUCCCAAAUGUCAGCUAUGCUUUAGUUUCUAUUCCAAGCACAGCAUGAUGGAAAGAACUGUAAAAAUAAAAAGAAACAAAGAAAAAAGGAAGCAUAUCUUAACUGUCACAGAUCCAGUUUAGCUUCAGAUAGAUCUGGAUUCCAAUUCCAGCUCUGUGUGGGACCCGGAGCAAAUGACUUGAAAAUCUCUUCAAGCCUCAAUUUCUUCAUCUGCAAAAACUUGAAAAUAAUAGUUCUAUACAGUGUUGUGAUGAGUAUGAAAUAAAAUGAUAUAUGUUAGCUGCUUCUCAUCCUUUUUGCAAUGAGUCUGAAUAUAAAUAAAAUACGUUAAUUACGUAAAAUAUUAUGAAUGGAAUGUAAAAAAUGAGUUUGACACGUGUGCAAAUAAAUGGAAUGUAUGCAAAGGUACCCAGAAUGUAUGCAAACACCUGAGGUGUAUGCAAAGCACCUGAAAGGCGUGCUAGUUUAUGAAAUGUAUGUGAAGAGUUGACAUAAAUUAGGUUAGAUCAUUCCUAUCGCUUUGCCUUAGAGAAAAUGCUCCUUGCUUCAGGACAUUCCUCUCAACCCUGCCUUCCCAUCUUAAAAGUCCAACUCUGAUUUUGACAUUUGAGGGAUGCCUUUUUCAACUCAGAGUUCUCUCUCUCUUUUUUUUUUCUUGUAAUAUCUACAACACAUAUUGUCUAGACUGUUAGUUUCGGAUUUAUUAUGAACUGUCCUGCAUUGUCAGUUAAAUUUUUUAUGUUUGCAUGUUUAGUUUAUUUAACUAAACUAUUGUACUUUGUGAGCACAGAAACCAUGCCUUUACAUUCCCUGAGCAUGUAGACCAGAACUUUGCAAGCAGCAACCCCCAGGUUUAUGAUUUUAAUUUAAUGUGCUGUGGAAAAAAAGAACCUUUACCAUGCUGACUUGUUAGGUUGAGUGAAUGACAUGAACUCUUGGGCAUCUCUGCUCCUCUGUAUAAGAAGUGUCAUGCAACUCUGGACGGGACUGCUGGGCCUCUUGAAGCCAUAUUUCAAGUUCACCACCUAAGCCAUUCCCAGCCCUGUGCUCCUUUGAGUAAGUCUGGUGUACAAUGUGGAGUAUGUGAAGCCGGAUUGUUCUAGGCACAAAUUACCACUGCUUCCUCUUCAGUGGGAGAAUUUAGAGUGGGCUAACAAGAAAAAUAAGAUCUAGCAAGAGUAAGUCUCUCUAUGAAUAAUAUAUAAAACAUUUUUUCAAUAAUCCCCAGAAACUGCCUGCCCUCUCCUCAUCUGGCAACUUUGAUUUGGGUUUAUAUGGAUUUUAUUAGUUUAAAAUGAGAUGCGUACAUAGAGCCCUAACUUGCCUUGUUAUUUAUUUCAAGUGCAGACCACAUAGGUUUUGAUGUAUUAGAAGUAAUCCUAUUAUAAUGUUUAGGUGGCCUGAGCUAACUUGGGCUUUCUGUCCAAACACAUUACAGAAACAAUCCCUUCCUCAACAAAUGUUUAAAUGCUGACAGUGAUGCCUGGGGCUACACUCUUUGCCCAGCCCUUUGGGGAAUAAAAGAAGCUAUUCUUGACAUGCCUUGGAAAUUAUUUUAUAACAAGAUUAAUAGUUAUUUCAAAAAGCCCAGAGCCGAGUGAGGGAAUUUUGAAUCACAGACUAAGGAACUUGAGCAAAAGGAUCCAACCCUGCAUCUUGGAGCUUAAUAUUUAGCCUGAUUCAGCACUAGAUCCAUGGUACUGAUGCCCUGACUUUUCAAUGGCCUCACACACUGAUCAUUAAGUUGAUGACUUAGCUCUUGACCUAGUUGAGGAUGUGAUAAAACUACACUGGUGGGUCAAUAACUCCAUAAAAAUGGUGAUCAUAAAAACAGAACUACCAUUCAACUCAGCAAUCCCAUUACUGAGUAUAUACCCAGAGGACUAUAAGUCAUUCUACC
rnacentral:lncRNA from 1 species